rnacentral:rRNA from 1 species
CCAGGCUUGAACAGCGAGUGACCACUCCCGAAAGGGAGCUUCCGCAAGGACACUCGUAGAGGUGCUGCAUGGCUGUCGUCAGCUCGUGUCGUGAGAUGUUGGGUUAAGUCCCGCAACGAGCGCAACCCUUGUCUUCUGUUGCCAUCAGGUUAUGCUGGGCACUCUGGAGAGACUGCCGGUGAUAAACCGGGGGAAGGUGGGGAUGACGUCAAGUCAGCAUGGCCUUUAUGUCUGGGGCUACACACGUGCUACAAUGGCCGGCACAAACCGUCGCGAGCCCGCAAGGGGGAGCUAAUCGGAGAAAGUCGGUCUCAGUUCGGAUCGUCGGCUGCAACUCGCCGGCGUGAAGUUGGAAUCGCUAGUAAUCGCGGAUCAGCACGCCGCGGUGAAUACGUUUCCCGGGCCUUGUACACACCGCCCGUUCACAUCACGAAAGCCGGUUGUACUAGAAGCCGCCAUAUCACCCCGUCAAGGGAGAGAGGCGUCUAAGGUAUGGUCGGUGAUUGGGGUG